GGCCUGGCGCGUCCGCCGAGCGCGGGGGUUUGUUUAUUUUCCCGGUUGGUAGCGGCGCUGGCGCUGGUUAGAGGUUCGCCGGUGACGUGAGCGCCCGAGUUGGGGGAGAGGACCAGAACCACCUGCUGGAGAAAGGGAGCUACGGGGGCCGGGCAGGGUCCAAACGCCUCACGUGGGCGGCGGCGCCACGGUCUUCGGGGUCACAGGGAAGAGAAGGGCUCUCCUCAAGCGGGUGGAAGGAGGGAGGCCUCCCGAGGGAAUGAGACUCCAGGCCACUCCCCCGCAGCAAGGCAGGAUCACCUGCGUCGCGGAGAGCAGUUAGAGGUCCCUGGAGUGGAAAAGGGCAGUGGGACCUGGUAGCUUGGGUUCCCUGCAACUUGGGGUUCGACCUCCAGGCAAUGAAGUAGGGAUGGUCCUGCAAGUCAAGAUUCCAGUAGCAAGAGUGCAUCAGAUCUCUGUAAGGAAAAUAACUAACAUUGCUCAGUUCCCUGUAGAGUUGCAGGGCGCUUUGACGUUAUCUCCCUUGGUUCUCCAUCAGGUCGUAGUGGACUAAUUUUACAGGCGAAGUUAAGUGACUUACCCAAAACCUCACAGCUAAUAAACGGCAGAGCCGGCACCCAGCUGUACUGGCUUCCAGCGCAUCCCAUUAUCUCCAUAAAUCCCCCUGAUUCAACUAAUAUUAGACGCCCCACAGGUAAGAUGCUUCAGAGUUAGAGGGGAGUUGAAGAUACCUUUGCCUUCAAAGAAGUAAGGAAUGAAACAAAGAUAAAACAGACAAUAAAAGACAAACCAUGAUAGGUGCCACGUGAAAAGUGGCAGAGUACUGCCGGGAAUCAAAGAACCGUGUAUAUCUGUCUUGGGGAUAAGGAAAGAAACGCAGCAUGAAGGAGUAGGCAUUUGGGAUUGACCUUGAAGGAGACAGGGAGAGUUUUACAGCAAGAAGGGAUAGCAUGAGAAUAUAUAUGAAGGCGAAUCAGUGAAAGUUGUGUUGGGGAAAGAGCAAAGACUCCAGGUAUGUUGAGAGGUAGAAAAGACAAAGGAGUAUGGGGCCUAAGAUACCAAAUGGAUGAAUUUAUAUUUAAUUCAGUAUUUUGAGUUUUUAUGGUUCAGAAGUUUGGGGGAAGAAAAGGAAGGUUUUUUUUUUCUUUAUGCUAGUGAUUUAUCUGUGAAGGGAAGCAGAAAUCAGAGGUGGAAAAACUGACAGAUCUACUGUAGGCCAGGUAAAAGGUAAUGAUGAGUCUGACCUAAAGGGACAGCCAGGGGAAUUUAAAGAGCAUAGUUGAGAGAUGAUGUGCAUGCAGAAUCUAUAGAAUUUGCUAACUGAUUGAUUAAUUGUGGGUAGGAAGAGAGAAAUCAAAGAAAGUGGAGGUUUUGAGUUUCUAGAUAAUUGCAAGAGAGAAAAGAGACAAUUACAAAGGAAAGGAGAAGGAGCUACUUCUUGAGAGAAGAUCAGUUUAGAUUUAGACAUUUUAAGAAUUCAAAGGGUUGUCAAGACAGCCAGACGGACAUGGACACUAAUAAGUUAGAAAUAAAGGUUUUGUAAUAUGGGAAAGAGGACUGAGCUAGAAAAUAGACUCAUAGAUAAUCAGCCUAGGAGUGAUAUUGCUGUGAGAUAAAAGAAGAAAACAAAGUCAGAAUCUUGGAAAACACCCUCUUCAGAGUCUCGCUGCUCAAAACGUGGUCAGUGGCCCAGCAGCACUGACAUGAGGACCUUAGUUGGAAACUCAGAAUCUCAGGCUCCACCCCAGACCUGCUGAACCAGCAUCUUCAACUUAACAAGAACCCGAAGAGAUUUGUGCCACAUCAAAAAGUUUGAGAAGCUCUGAUCUAGGUGAGCCAAGCCAGCAAAGAAAGGGGGUGGAGCAGAAAAUGGGAGGAGAAUAGGGUAAUGCAGAAUCAUCAAGACAAGGUAAAUUGGACUUUCACAAAAACGGGGCUGGAAGGAGUGUUGCUCAACAAUAUCCAAAACCACAGAGGUUGAAAAGCACAAGGAAAGAAGCUGGACCCUGGACACGGUGACUCUGAUUCAAUUAUGCAGAUGACCACAAGCCUCUGGGGUUGGCAGAGCCACAAGAAAGAAGGUGCCUGGAUGAAGGAGAGCUACCCACUGACCUGGACACCCAAUUAUUCAUCUGUCUUAGAGCUAUUGGAAUCCUGGAUCAUUGUGGGAAAUGAAAAGAACUGGUUUUUAGCAAGGAGACCAAGAAACUCUACUCCCUAGGGGCUAGCAAUGAGAGAAAGGAAGCCUUGAGUCUUUGAGCACAGGGUGACAGUUUGGGUCCUAUGUGAGAUGAUCAAAUCCACAGCAACAGAGGAAAGGACAAAAGGAAAAGAUACUUCGAUGGAAUCAGCAGCCAUUGAUCCAAUGCCAACUCCAAGACUGGAACGUCGCAAUGAUAGUUCCAAGGCGGAAAUUUGAC
rnacentral:lncRNA from 1 species